GACAGGUGGAAGCAAUCAGGUGGAUUAUGUGAGAGGUGGCAGGAAGCCACUCAGCCUGCCUUUGUUUAUUUUGUAUUACCUUUACUUUUUGGCAUGCCUUUGUGUAUAUAUUUCUGUUUCGUCAUCAUCUGAACAAAUAAUAAUGACCUUGGACUGGCUGACCAUGGGAGUCAUGACUCAGCUGGACCUAAGUUCCAAGAGGAACAGGACGACAGAACACCAGUUGCCAUCAAGCGCCAUUCCUGUUGCAUCCAGGCACCUGGCCAAGAGCACAGAGCAACAAAAAAGAGAUUCCUCGUUGCGCCACUAGAGGUCAUCGGUCCCUCAGACCCAGGUCCUCCGUGGCUUUGAGGAAUGUGCAGCGAGGAGCAGACACCAUGACCACAUCCCCACACUCAUCCUCUCCAGGGUGGGCCAGCAAAGCUGCUCCUAGUACAGUGAGGAGAAAAGGGUCAACUUCAAUACUUCUGCCUCUACUGCAGUGAUCUUAGAGGGUGUAUAUGCUUUUG